rnacentral:lncRNA from 1 species
GUCAGGGAGAGCCCUGCACCUCUAGAAGAUGUGAUCCGAGUCUUCACUCAACUCAUUCCCAAAUUACUGUUUAACAUAGCAAGCGUCUCAUUGUCUGUGUAUAUAUACAGACUCGCACAGUCAGUCAGUCUAGACCACUCUCAUUGGCACCACCUAUCAGUAGAAUUACUACAAUGGAAAACUAUAGACUUUCUCACCAGAGGCCUGACUGCUACGACUCUCCUAUGAACCUGGGUGUCAGUUCACCUUUGAAACUCAGGUUUGUCUAUGAAGGGAAAAUUGACCAGAAAAAAGUCUUCUGACAAAAAUAGUUGUAAUCCCUGCCACUUACUAACAUGGAGCCUAACUGGUAAGCCCUGUGUUUUACUCACUGAGCCAGGCACAGUUCAGACACUUCCGUUCUGAAACAAGCGUACACGUUAUCCAUGGCUUAUUAGUCGGAAUGCUGAAACAGCCCAGGACCUGGUCCUGCGUCAUCCAGUCGGGUUUCUCGGUGGGCUCCGUGAUUUUGAUAAAGUGAUUUGAUAAAGCUUUCACUGUCUAACCACCAACUGCAUGCUAAAAAUCUACACACGCCACAACCCUGGCACUCAGAAGACUGAGACAAGAGGAUUGCAAGUUCUAGACCAGCCUGGGCUCCACAAUGAGGCCGCGUUUCUAAGAAGACAAUAAAUUUGUCCUCAUACUACCUCCUCUCCUCACAAGAUCCUGGCAGCUUGGCUACCCUGUGCUACUGUGGGAAACACAGGCAUGAGGCACUGGCUGGGGACUACCCUCGGGAAGCAGGGCACUGAGCACAGUCACCACUCACUCGGUCUCUUGCUGGGUGGGAGGAGUCUUUCGUGGACUCUGCUGAGUCAUGCUCAGUCUCUCCUUUUGCAUCAGGACCAGCCACCAGGGGGUCAGCCAAGGAAGAAAGGAUGGGGAUUUUCUUAGCUUGAAAAUAGCUGUAGGCCACCUUUCCACAGACCAACAGAGUGACGUGCUCCCCGCUGCUCUUGAUUCUCUCCACCACUCUGUCAUAGGGUUCAUCUUGCACAUUCUCCCCAUUCACUUCAAUGAUGAUGUCCUCAUUCUCCAGCCCUGCCUUGUCAGCAGGGCCACCCUGCUGUACCUAUGAACAGAAGUUCUGAAUGUCGGUUCCAAACAUGGAGGAGGGUGUGCCAGGCAGCUUCCCCUCCUGAUGAGUCUCAGUACUUCUUAACCACACCUCUCUCCUUGAUGGGCUCCACCCCUGAACUCUAGGGAGCUCAGCCACAAUGGCCAAGUCCUGCUGGGACAUCUGCUGGGCUGAAGGUGUCAGGCCCCCUUCCCAACUGGAAGCUGCAGGGCAGCCUCACCGCCCUUCCCUACAGGGUACAGGCACCGUGCACAUCCACAGCAGCAGACAAGGGAAGUGUGACCCCUGUUAGUGUCGUGGCAGCUGUGGCUUGCACUGGAAAUUCCAUCCCAACUGGCUGUGUUUGCUGGAACUAGUUACCGUACCUCCUUGACAAAGGAGCCUGGCUGGCCCCGAAUGGCGUUCAGGUGAAAGCCGUAGCUGUCGUCCUCUUUAAUCAGCCUGCAGAGCUUGGGUUUAUGAUCCCCCACGUCCUCUGUGGUAGCUGAGCCUGGGGCCUCCAGAGGAGCAGAGAUGGGAGCUGGGGCUUCCUUCACAGAACCAUUAGGCAGUUCUUGACUUUGGCAGUAGAGAAGUGGAGAGAAACGAGCCUUUCGAAAAUAAAGGGAAAAAAUACCCAUCUGAGCAA